GCAGCGUCGCCGUUUCUCCUUUCUUGGGCAGUAUUUUUCCCAGCGCCACGCGGAGGCUGGGCCAUUAUGAGGUUUGUCUCUGCAUUUCCAGGACCUGGUCACUAUUCAGGACACGGUUCCAGCGCAGUGCGCGUUAGCCAUGUCUCAGCUCCAGACUGAGAGGACGCAGCAUAGAAAAUGCUUAUGAGUGGUUCAGACUCAGUAAUGGGAUGAGUGACAUUCCAAGAUGUGGCCAUUGACUUCUCCAAGGAAGAGUGGGGAUUCCUGAACCCUGCUCAGAGAGAUUUGUACACAACUGUGAUGCUGGAGAAUUAUCAGAACCUGGUCUGGCUGGGACUUUCCAUUUCUAAAUCUGUGAUUUCACUGUUGGAGAAAAGGAAACUGCCUUGGAUAAUGGCAAAAGAAGAGAUAAGAGGCCCAUUGCCAGGUGAGUAUGAAGAACCAACUAGCGGGGGUAAGCCAUGUAUAUGAAAGGCAUACCAGGUCUAGAGGGCAAAGCACCUUUAAGAUGUGAAAGAUGCUCUCUUCCAAUGUUCCAUACGUAUGUAGAAAUUGAGGCUCCUUGAGUUUGAGUUCCUAAAAGGGUACUGAUCACCCACCAUUUAUAUCUGCUUUUAUAAAUGCCUGUGGGCUCAGAAAUUACAGGUGUGUCUUUCCUCUUUGUCUAUGGUAAGCUUCCUUUUAAAUUCAGGAUCCUGUUUCUCAUGACUUUUUUUUUAUUUGACUCUUUGAUAUUGUUUUCUUUACUGUAAGAUGACUUAUAUAGUGGUCUGAUUGUUUGAAUGGGUGUAUUCAUUGGUCAUUUAUUCAUUAACAUUAAUUCCAUUUUUAAAACUAGUCAACUGUUGAGAGUCCCCAAGACCACCCCCAGGUUCAAGGACUUACUAGGAGUCGUCACAGGAGUCAUCAUAUCAUUGUAUUCAUGCCUGCAAAGUUAGUGAAUAGUCCAGAAGAACACCAUCAUUCUGAUGCCAGCUGCAAAGUAUGGGGGUCCCCAAGACCACCCUGAAUUCUGACACGAAUUGCAAAUCCAAAGGUCCCCAAGAUGACCCUCAGGUUUGAUAAUUCACUAGAAG
rnacentral:lncRNA from 10 species